UACGUAGGAGGCGAGCGUUGUCCGGAGUUACUGGGCGUAAAGCGCACGUAGGCGGCUUUGUAAGUUAGAGGUGAAAGCCCGGGGCUCAACCCCGGAAUUGCCUUUAAGACUGCAUCGCUAGAAUUGUGGAGAGGUAAGUGGAAUUCCGAGUGUAGAGGUGAAAUUCGUAGAUAUUCGGAAGAACACCAGUGGCGAAGGCGACUUACUGGACACAUAUUGACGCUGAGGUGCGAAAGCGUGGGGAGCAAACAGG
rnacentral:rRNA from 1 species